rnacentral:rRNA from 1 species
ACGGGUGAGUAAUGCCUAGGAAUCUGCCUGGUACUGGGGGAUAACGCUCAGAAACGGACGCUAAUACCGCAGACGUCCUACGGGAGAAAGCAGGGGACCUUCGGGCCUUGCGCUAUCAGAUGAGCCUAGGUCGGAUUAGCUAGUUGGUGAGGUAAUGGCUCACCAAGGCGACGAUCCGUAACUGGUCUGACAGGAUGAUCAGUCACACUGGAACUGAGACACGGUCCAGACUCCUACGGGAGGCAGCAGUGGGGAAUAUUGGACAAUGGGCGAAAGCCUGAUCCAGCCAUGCCGCGUGUGUGAAGAAGGUCUUCGGAUUGUAAAGCACUUUAAGUUGGGAGGAAGGGCCAUUACCUAAUACGUGAUGGUUUUGACGUUACCGACUGAAUAAGCACCGGCUAACUCUGUGCCGGCAGCCGCGGUAAUACCCAGGGUGCAAGCGUUAAUCGGAAUUACUGGGCGUAUAGCGCGCGUACGUGGUUCGUUAAGUUGGAUGUGAAAGCCCCGGGCUCAACCUGGGAACUGCAUUCAAAACUGUCUAGCUAGAGUAUGGUAGAGGGUGGUGGA